AAAUAUAUUAGCAUAUAUAAAAUUGGAGUGAGCCCUACCAAAUAUUGUACCUUUACUCUCUGGCCUUUGAUGUUGACUUUGCCUGGCAGAAAAGGCCAUCAGAACUAACCGCCUGCUGAAUUCAAUCAAUAACCUUCUUCUUCACUUCGCCGGCAAUCUUCGUCGGCGACGCAGAUGGUUAUCUACGGGUGGGGUUUCACAGAAGCGGGGGAUGAUUAUUGGGUUUUGGUGUUUCUUUGAGCAGCUGUUGAAUCUGAGGAAGAAGAGAGAAGACUAUAUAUUUAUAUAUAUAGCUGAAAGAAUUAUCAUGGCAAUGCCAUAUAGAACGGUGUUGAAGAUAGCUAUGGAGAUUUGGGCAGCACUGACUUGUUGGGUUGCUUUCUGCCUUCUUAUUGCUCAUGAGAUUGCUACUUCUCUUGACACUUGACAUCUGAUUGCUUGAUCUUUGUUUUACUUCAUUCAAGAUUAAUCCGCAGGUUUGUUUCUGUCUCUUGUUCAUGGUGUUAUUAUACCUCUUUGUGGUAAAGAUGAUUAUUGAUGCUUUAAGAACCAGUACGAUAGGAAACAAACAAGUUUUCUCGUUUGUUUCUUCUUUGUUUUUGGUGAGCUUGGGUGUUUGUUUUCUCAUUUGAACUGGAGUCAUGUCGAUCAUUGAAGAUUAGUGAGGUGAAAUUGAUGAUGAUUUAUUAGUUUCUGUAUUGUUUGUUUGGACAGAAAUUUGUUUUUUCCUUUGAGCUACAAGGAAGAGACAAAACAUAUAGAUGAUUUCAUGGAUAUGAAAUUAAUUACUUGUAUGGAUAUGUCAUGUUUUGAUGGUUGAUUAAGAGUUUCUUAAAUCCUGGAAGUGGUGUUUGAUUUUAGGUUUGAAAUUUUAGUGGACAUGAACUUUGAAUAGAGGUGAAUGCAAUUAAGUGCCUAACUUGCUUAUUUUUUAUAAUUAAUUGUGGGAAUUUUUAUUUCUAUCUAAGCGUUGAAUGUUGAAUUUUAUUUUUACAUAUUAAAAAUAAAUAAAUUUAAUUAAUAUAUUUUAUUUUAUUUUUGACAAAAAAAAAAUUGUCAAUUAACAAUUUUAUAUAUUUUUAUAUUCAAAAGUUAUGUUACGGUUCAAACUUUUCAUCUUGUUAUAAUAAAGUUAUUUGUUAUUAGAAGUUAUGAUAAAAUUAUUCUUUUAUUUUUAUUAUUUAGUUAAUGUUGUAUAAUUAUAGUAAAAUCCUAUAAAAUAAUGCUCUUGGAUCAAAGGAAAAUCAAGCUUAAUGGGGUUAUUGAUUUAUUGAUAAAUAAAUAAUUUAUUAAUUUAGAGAAAGAGUUUCAUGUUUCUACUAUAGUACAUGUAGAUGUAUAGCGCCUAAAUCCAAAAACAAUAGAUAUCAUCAAAAGUUAAUAUUAUGAAUAAAAUUCUAAGAGACAGUAAAACAAGAAAUGAUUAUCAAUUAUAGAAGAUAGAAAAAAGUUUUAAAAGAAAAAGGUAUGAUAUCAAAACUUAAUUUAAUACGCUUAUCUGAGUUGAAACUAGAAAUUUUUAUUAUUUAAGCGAGUUAUUAAUUUAUUCAACAUUUAUUUUCUCAAGAUUUUACCGUAUUUUGUUUAUGUUCUUUUGAGAAUGUUUGUAAUAAUAAUGAGGCAAUAAAAUAUGAUAAAUUAAGCCAUUUAAUCUAUUGUAUUUUAAUCUAUAAUUAGUAUUGUAUUUACUUGAUAAAAUAUUGUUAAAUAGUUUUGUCCAUUUUAACUACAUAAAAUUUUAAAUUACACAGUUUUAUUUAAAUUUUAUUUCAAUAAUUAGAAAUAUGAUUCUCAUAAAUUGUUUAAUAUGUAAUUUUCAAAUAAUAUCAAAUUUUAUCGCUUGAGUUUAUUGUCCUUGAUAUUUUAGGUAAUAACUACUUGUCUUAACUUCUAUACGAUGAAAUUCACAUAAAUGUAAUGAACCUUGGAAAAACUAUUAGAGAAGGGAAUGACGCAUCCUCAUAGGAUCACAUUAAAGUUGUAAUAUUCCUCCUUCACCACCUUGAUAAAAGAUUAAAAAGUGAAUAUUUUAUGAUCAAAGAUCAUUUCAUCCUUUACAAUAAUGUGAAGGAACGAUAUAACAACCAAAAGACCAUCAACCUCUUGAAAGCUCAUAAUGAUUGGAUACAUUUAAGGCUAUAAAUUUUCAAAUCUACCAAAUGACACAAGUCCACUUAUUUAAAAUUAGCUCUCAAUUAAAGCUUUGUUGAAAAACACAUGUUGGAAAAAAUGUUUGCUACUUACUCUUUGAAUAUGCAACUCCUAUAACAUCAAUAUUGAAAGUAUUGAUUUACUAAAUAUCUAGAAUUGAUAUCAUCCCUUCUAGUAGAUAAAUAGAACGUUGAAAUUUUAUGAAAUAAUUACUAAUUUUGCUUAACUGGUUCUAUGUCAUUCCCUGAAACUAAUGUAUACCAUCUUUUGUAUACGUAGACAUGAAUGUAGAUUAAGGAAUGGUCAUGGCUAAGAAAGAAAUAAUUUUGACACCAUUGAGGUCAUAAUCAUUUUUGUAUUGGAAAAAUCAUUUUUAUCACCAUAAGUGAAAUAAUAGAACAAGUGUAUUAGAAAAUAUUAGAGAUCUACAAGCCAAAAAGACUUUUGAGAAUGAAUGUUACAAAUGUUGGAUGAAAAGGCAUUAGUCACAUAAAACUAAGGGUGUAAGCAAAACCGAAAAAACUAACAAAUCAAUCUAAACUGAUCAUAUUGGUUAGGUUUUCAAAAAUAAAAAUAAAAAAAGUUGAUUCAGUUUAAGAAUUUUAAAAACCAAUCUUGACGGUUUGAUUUUCAAUUUUCUUAUCUCCUAAUUGAUAACAACUAAACCAAAUUGAUAUUCUAAAACUUAUAUAUAACUGUUUGAUAUUUGAUAAAUUUGUUUAUAUUAUAUUCUAUUAAAGUAAUUCAUUGAUUUUAUAUUAUGGUGAAAUUAAUUUUAAAUAUAUUUAAUAUAUUUUUAACAUCAAAUCCAAGUUUGUUUCAAUUAAUUUUAAAAAUAAAUUAAACUUAUGGUCUAAUAUAAACUCAAAUUAAUAGGAUUUAGGCUCAAAACAAAUACAAAUCUACAACUAGGUUUAUGACUAAAAAAUGUUAUUAAGUUGGGUUAAAAUUGAUUCAUAAAAACCAAACCAAACCAACCUCAAAAGACUUGAUUUGGUUCGGUUUUUUCACUCCAAAUCUAGUUGGUUUGUUUUUUAUCACAUAUAAAAUCGACUAUAUCAAUUCAGUUCAUUUUUUAUCCAAAAACCGACUGAAUUGACCUUAUUUACACCCCUACAUACAACAAGUAAGAUUAAAGAACAUUGGGCACGUGCUUGUCAUAUAUUAAAACAUUUGGUUGACUUUUACCAAACCUCAACCAAGACAAAAGAAGUUGAAGGAGGUAUAACAUGAUGAAGGCUUUAACCCUUUACUUAUCAAUAAUACUUACCUCCUUCAACCUCUUUUUCUUGUUGCCUUGAUUAAGGCAUGGUAAAGGCCAACUAAAUGUUUUAGCCUAUGCCAAGUACAAAGGUAAUGUCCUUUUAUCCCACAUCUAUAACAUGUAUUUUAAAAAUUCCUUAUGGUCUACAUAUCUUUAUCUUUCUCAUACACCUAUUGUCUUCUUUCACUUCUAGUCAUAAAGGUGAUUUUUCUGAUUUUGAGAAUGAUUAUGGCAUCUAUGAUACCAAGAAAUUUUUUUUUUUUCUAGCCAUGAUUGUGCCAUCAUCUUCAUCUGCAUUUGCAUUCACUGAAUGUGGUGACAUUCACUUCAAGGAAUGGUAUAAAACUACUCGGAUGAGAUUAAUGAUUUUUUAAUAAAAGCUUAUUAUUUUAUUUAGUCAUCAGAAGAUAUAAUAUCAACUCUAAAUAUUUAAUAAAUCAACAUUCUUGAUAUUACUAUUGUAGAAGCACAUUCAAGGCUUGAAAGGUAGUGAAUGUUUUUUUCUAAUAUGUCUUCUUCAAUAACCUUUUCUUCACAUAAUUACUUAUAGUGAAUUUUAAAUAGUAUAGAGUUAUAUUCAUUGACAAAUUUGAAAUUUUGUAGUCUUAAUUGCAUCAAAUUAUAAUGAGCUUUUGGGAUAUUCUUUUCGUGGUCAUAUGAAUCCUUCAUAUUAUUCUAAAGAAUGAAGGAAUCUUUGAUGGUAAUAUAUGUAUCUUAUAAUCCUUUAUCAAGGUGUGAGUUCUAAACGUGUGAGAGUAAGAUAUUGUAAGGCUCCAACGGUGCGUUGGUAUAGAGUAUGAUUGUCCAAUGGUUGACCAUCAUGUUUGGAUAAAUGUAGGCCUCCUUCACAAAGUGUAGGCAUAGGAGUAGCACCAAUCAUUCUUGUCUUGUUAAAAAGGUCAUGAAUGUAUUUGACUUGUGUAAGAUGAAGUCCAUCAAGGGUGGAUUGAACUUCCAAGCCAAAAAAGUAAUGUAGUUGUCCCAUAUCUUUUAAGGCAAACCAAGUGUCAAGAUCCUUUAUAAACUUGGCAAUAAGAAAUAGAUCACUCCCAAUAAGAACAAUAUUGUCAACAUAGAUAAGUAGAAUAACAAUAACAUCUAGAGAUGUGUAUAUCAAGAGAGACAAAUCUGAUUUAGAAUGCUUGAAUCCCCAUUCAAGUAUAGCACGAGUGAGCUUUUGAAACAAAGCCCUGUGAGCUUGUUUAAGGCCAUAGAUAGCCUUCUUGAGUUUGCAAACAUGGCUAGGUGAUCGCCCGGAUUUUUGUCAUUUAUUGGAUCAAAACAAAAUUUAUAACCUAAUUCACUAUUCUAUAGCAAUUUGUACCCGAUCAAAAAGUGGUUUUAGUACAAACUACUAUAGUAUAGUGGUUUUUAGGUAUCGUCUACAAGGAUGGAUUAUUCUUGGUAAUCAAGACUUGAAUGAGAGGAGAAGAAAUGAUUGAGAUCAAGUGAAAAUGAUUUGACAAUUCAUGAUAAAAAUUCGAAAUGUUAAUGAUUCCAAAUUGAGAGAAAAAUGAAAUGUAAAAUAGAAUAAAAUUAAUAGAAAAUGAAGUUCUCGGAGUUAGGAUUUUCUAAAAAGCAAUUUCCAUGGUGAAUAGAUGUUGAGAUCUAAUUUUCAUCAAGUUAGAUUGAAAACCUAAAUUUUCAUCUAAACCGAUUUUUUUAUUUAGCUUUAGGUCUAGAUUUAAUUUCUCUUCAAAUUAGGUCAUCUAAUCCAAGAGAUCAAUUCAAAUCAUAUAUUCAAUUCAUCUUAAAUUAUCUUCCAAUGAUUCACACAAUGUAACUAUUCAAUCUCCUCAAAUCUAGCAUUAAGAAUUUGAUGAAUCUACAUAGCUUGCAUUGUAGUAAUCAUCCAAGACAAUUUGAAGAGAAAAAUCAUCAAAUUUCAAUUAAUAAAUCAAUUGGAUCAAAUUACAUUGGCAAUUCAAGCUCAUUUCUCUAAUUCACCAUAGAUCUUGCCUCUAGAUCCUCCCUCCUCCGAGAAAAACGAGAUUUAGCCACUCAUGCUUGGAUAUUUGAUCUCACAAGGCAUUUUUGUCUAGUGAGAAAAUGAGAGAAAAUGAAGGAAAGUAGAAAAUUCUAUAGAGAGAAAAUCUGGAAAGUUCUACAAUUAGAAAAUGUAUCAAAAGUUCUUACAUGAGUAAAUCAAGUUUCUAUUUAUAGGCCAAGGUCAAAUGGACACUUAGCAUCAUCUAAGAGGUCUUUCGUAGGCUUCUUCAACAAGAAAUCUGGAAAAAAAUACAAUUCCACACGAGUUCCAACAAUUUUCCACGAUUGUGUGAAGUGAAAAGUUCAUCAGCACCAUUUUUUUUGUCUUCCUAGAGCAUUUCGCAUGACUGUGCGAAAUUUUCGCAUGGUCAUACGAAAUCAGCUUUCACUUCUCCUAUUUUUUUCUUUUGACUCCACUUCCACCACCUUCAAUUUAGCUCCAAAGCUUGGUCCAAGUGCAUUGCCUCUUUCUCAUCAUCCAUAUUGUGUACCCUCCUCCAUUCCAUUUCUCUUUUGUCACUCAAUGCUUCAAAAAUCACCUUAAAAUAUCUCCAAAACUUCACAAAAAUCCAUUAGUAUCUCUUACAAGGGUAGCAAUGUAUUACUUGGGCAUAUUAGGCAUAAUUACUACUCAAAAUGUAUGAAACUCAUGAGAAUUAGUAUCUAAAAUGUGUGGUUUUUGAGUAGUAAUCAUCCCCCAACCAACGCAUUGCUAGUCCCUUAGCAAUGGUAUAACAAAGAGAAAGAGAAAAUUACUCAAAAAGAAAUUCUUAAACUCAUUUGGAAAAUGUUUUUUAAAAUCCCAUAGCACAAAUGGUCAAAAAUGAAACACACCUCACCAUCAAUAGGUGUCAUCAAAAUCUCAAACUCAUUUCCUAUCUCGAAUAGAAAAAAACAUCAUGCAAAUCAAAGUAUCAAAGACAUAUCCAUUUUAAAUCUCCAAAAUGAUAUUUCCAAGCAACUCUUGAGUGAAAUCAAACUAGCCCCCUGAUAUACUAUUCAAAACUAUUUUUCUCCACAACCAUGCCAAUUUAUCUUAAGCAGCAAAAACCACUCUCUCAUAGGUCAAGAAUGCACCUACCUAUAUUUAUUUAUAUAUAUACUUUUUUUUUCAAAUGUCUAAUUGUAGGAAUGCAAUGCUAAAGGUAUCUCCAAAUAUAUGGCCCAUGUAGCAGGGAUUCAUCGAUGACUCCCAACCAUACGGCAUAGGGCACCAAGUUUAUAGGACUAAUUCAGCCACUAACUCCUCAGACUUCAACCCGGACUCCAAAAUUUAGGAUCCAAUACCUUAGCACCUACAAUUAAGCUCAUACUCCAUCUAUUCACCCAUGUAGCGAGCAUUGAAGUCAGUGGCUCCCAACCAUAAUGGCUUAGGGCACCAGACUUUAAAGACUUUUGGGUCAUAUACCCCUCGGACCUUGCUCAGGUUUCAAGGCAAGCAUAACCCAACCUUUUUAUUCAUCAAAAAAAAAAAAAUUCAAUUGGGCACAUUGGCCUCUUCUUAAGGUGCCUCAACUCAAUUUAAAAGUGAUUCAAGUUACUAAGACAAUUGGGUCUAAGUCUUAGGGUUAGACUAGUCUUUCAUCUUAUAUCAAGGGUCUAGAGUGCACAGUGUGUGUCAAGAUUUAAAUAGAAAUGACCAUUUGGAAAAUGAAAACUUCAAAGUCAAAUCAAAUUCAAUCAACAUAACUAGUUUUCUAAGAUCAAGCAAAUGAGUUGAUAUUCCAAAUCAACUUCUUUCAAGCUAGGUAUGCUCAUUUAUCAAAUAUAAAUGUUAUGUUCUUCUCAAAAACAAAUUACCAAUUAAGUUUUAAAAAAAUCUAGCUAAUACACAAACAAAAGAAAAAAAAAAUCUAACAACCAAUUCUAAAUCAACAAGAAACCAACAAUUCUUCCUUUCCUAUCCCCCUCCCCAACCCCAACCAAACUAAACAUUGUCCUCAAUGUUAACCGAAAAAAUGUAAAGCAAGGAAGGAAAGGGUACCUACAAAACAUUGUUUUCCAACUCCUAUAACUGAAACAAAACAAUAUAGAAGUAUAAGUGUGGUAGGAAAUAAGGAAGCAAAAUGUGAAAACCAUCAUCAUAAAAAAAAAUAAAAAAUAAAAAUAAAUAAAUAAAACAAAGGAAGUCAAGGAGAAAAGUGAGGGCACUCCCUAUCCUCAAGCAUGAGAUGGAAGGGAGGGGAUGAUCUCUGAAGGUGUUAAAAUAGUGAUAGGCACUGUGAACUCCCUCUCUGAAGAAUUAGUCUCUUGUGUAGUUGGGAUGGAUAGAGGAGUAGCAUCAUGAACACCAAUUGGCUUCUCAGAAGAAGAUUUCCAUUGUUGGACAGCCAUGGUAAGUUCAUCAACUCUUUGGACAAGGUGUUGUUGAGUGAGCUGGAUGGUUGCUUGAUUUUCUUGAAUCAUGUCCAAGUGAGCUAAGAAUUGAUUGAAUGUCUCAACUGAUAUAUGGACAUAGCCAUCAGAAAAUUAUGGGCCUAUGUCUGGUGUAGAGGAAAGAUUGGCCAAAAUAUGUGCAAUUGUAUCCGGAUUUGGAACAGUAGAAGCAACUUCUGGUAUGAGUGAAACUAGUGGUCUUGGGGGUGUAUCUUCUCCAUCACCAAAAUCUUGAAGAAUCAAAUUUGGAGGAGGCACAUAAUGAUGUUCAUUAUUAGUAGUCAAUGAAGCACUUGUGAGUGUAGACUCAGUUUUGGUCACACUUCCUUGCCAUCUAGAAACAGUGUAGACUUCCUUACAAUGAUGUUUUUUUUCUUUUCCAGGUUUAGUAGGCAAACCAUAGUACUCCAAUAAGGUGCCCAACAUGUGCGGGAAGAAUAAUGGAUAUUUCUUGGCUCUUUGCAAUUGCUCCAAAUGUACCUUGUCUUCAAAAUAGAAUAGGGCAACCAUGAAUAACUCAACAAGUGUCCACCAUUGCCCACUAACAAUUCUGAAUAAUGCCUCUAGUAUAUGUUCUUGCAUUUGCAUCGCGUGUUGGCAAGGAUGGACAUUGGAGCGUAGGACAUGAUCCAAGAACCAAAAUUUGGUAUCUAUUUCUCUCUUUAGCACUGCAUGUAUAUUGAUGGAUUGAUUUUGAAUUUAGACCAUCUUAGAAGCUUUAAUUUGAGUAAUAUGUUGAAACUCAGCUAGAUUUGGAGGUGUGAGAGGAAUCUCCAAGGCUCUUGCUACCAUUUCAGAAUUCAGUAUACCUUGUCUCCCAUCAAUUUCGAAAUAAAUCACUAAAAGAGGGUAGACUCCUCUGCUGGUCAUGGUUCGGUAAAAUUCCCGAAUUAUGCGAGGAUAGAAGAAUGGUCUAGAUACCAUGAAUAGCUCCAAAAAAUAUCGACAACACAACUCCGUGGAGAAUUUAGUAAGAGGGGAUGCAACAAAUGCCUUGAAAUCGUAGUAACAUUCUUCAUGGAAUUUUCUACCUGAGCAAUCUUCUCUUACACCAGUGGCUAGUUUCUUAUUCGGUGCUUUCGUGAAUUGGAAUUGAAGUGGUCAGCUCGGUGGAGGUGCAGAUUUUGUAACCGGAGUCGGAGCAGGGGCUUCAACAAUGAUUGACUAAACUACAGCAUUCUGCUCUGAAGGAGUAGUAGGGGAUGCCGGAAAAGAUGAAGGAUUUUGAGCUCUAAUGCUUUAUGUUCUUCUUAUCGGUAAUUUUCUAGGAGCAACCAUCUUUGAUUUGCCUUUAUCCAUUGAAGAUCUUGUUGCAUUCCUCUGGUUUGGAUGUCUAGAAACGAGAAGUUCAGAAAGGGAAAAUCCCGGAGGUGAUACGGGAUCAAUGUCUUCACCAUUUUCGUCAUUAAUUGCCAUGAACUCUUUCUUAAUAUCUGAUGAUUUUCAUUUUUGAUUCCCCAUCUAUAACAAAGAACAAAAAUUAUAACGAACAAUUUGAUGAAUUAACUGGGAAUUGGAAUAACGGGUAUCAAUUUGUCCGAAAUUCGCAAAAAAUUGCGGCAAAUCUCCCAAAGCAAAUUAAACUUUUCAACUCAAAUUCAUCUUACAAUUUUAGAAAGAGAUGAGUGAAAUUCAAUUACCUAAAAUGCCUUAAAUGUCAGGAGUGCUCUAGUAAAUCUUCGAAAAUCAAAAUCGAAAAUGAUCAAAUUCCCGAUGUUUGAUCGCGGUUUAGGGCAAGGAAGAAAUAUGAGAGAGUGUGAAUGAAAUGGGAGAAUGACCAAUGGUCUUCUACCUCAUCAGUUUCUCAUGUCCGACGAAGACGAAGAGUUUUCGCAUGAGGGCUCGUUUUCACUUAACGGUGCGAAAUGAAACAGGGCUUAUAUUGGGGACAUAUUUGUCUUUUUUUUCUUUUCUUUUAAGAAAAUUGUGGCAUAGACAUGCGAAAUUUUCAUGUGAGUGUGCGAAAUGGUCCAGAUGGUUCAUUUUACUGCAAUCUUUAAGCUAGAUUUCGCAUAGUCAUGCGAAAUGUUCGCAUGAUGAUGCGAAAUGGUCCAAAAUGUUAAAAUUUUUGCAACUAUCCUUAUCAGUUUUGCACAAUCAUGCGAGAAUUUCACAUGAUCAUGCAAAUUGGGAUAGAGACUAGUUUUGCACAUUUCCAAAGCUAUGAAAAUCCCCUGUUUUUGGCAUGACACCCCUGUUUUGGCAUGACACCCUGUUUUGGCAUGAACGUGCAAACUGGUGUUGGGCCAUUAAACUCCUUUUUUCCUUUGCUUCAUGCAUUCCAUCCAUUCGGAAAGUCCUUCAAAACUCAACUAAUAUGGAUCAUUCAUAAAGACUAAACAAAAUCAAACAACAUAAAAGCAAAACAAAAAAAAAAUUCAAAGAAAAGAAUUGCAAAAUCAUUGGGCUAGUUAGUCUUUUAGAAAACUAAGCCCACUAAACCUUGAAUGCUCAACUUAUGGAAGGUUCAAGGAGGUAUAGCUCCUCCUUCUCUUGCAUCAUAGGUUCCAUAUAUGGUUUAAGUUGAUGUCCAUUAACUUUGAAGAUACUUUCACUCUUUGGAUUAGCAAUUUCAACAACUCCAUUCGAAUACACCUUAUGCACCAAGUAUGGACCAUUCCAUCGAGAUUUGAGCUUUCUCGAAAAAAUGUGCAAUUUUGAAUCAUAUAAAAGCACUUUUUGUCCCUCUUGAAACUCUUUCCUAAGGACAAUUUGAUCAUGCCAUCUCUUAAGUUUAUCCUUAGAAAUUUUUGAAUUCAUGUAGGCUUCGUUCCUCAUUUCCUCUUAACUCAUUUAAGUCUAGGAACCUCUUCAACCCAGCUCUUUGCAUAUCAAAAUUCAAUCUCUUUAUGGCCCACCAUGCUUUAUACUCCAUUUCCACCGGUAGAUGACAUGCCUUACCAAAAACCAACCUAUACGGUGACAUUCCAAUAAUUGUUUUGAAGACAGUUCGGUAAGCCCAAAGUGUUUCAUGAAGUCUUAUUGCCCAAUCCUUGCGGUUUGCAUUCACCUCUUUCAUUAGGAUGUUCUUGAUUUCACGGUUAGCUAACUCCACUUGUCCACUUGUUUGUGGAUGGUAAGGUGUGGCUACCUUGUGUUUCACUCCAUAUCUAGCAAGAAGGUUGUUGAAUAUCUUGUUGCAAAAGUGAGUACCUCCAUCACUAAUAAUGGCCUUUGGCACCCCAAACCUUGUGAAUAUAUUUUCCUUGAGAAAUUUUACAACCACUUUGUGAUCAUUAUGCUUACAAGCUAUUGCUUCCACCCAUUUUGACACAUAGUCAACUCCUACCAAGAUAUAGGAGUAUCCCAAAGAGAGUGGAAAUGGUCCCAUGAAAUCAAUUCCCCAUAUAUCAAAUAAUUCCACUACCAGUAUGGGGUUUAGUGGCAUCAUGUGUCGCUUUGUCAAUUUCCCAAACCUUUGACACUUAUCACAAGACUUGCAAACUUCAUGUGCAUCUUUAAAUACAGUUGGCCAAUAAAAACCUGAUUGGAGAACCUUCAAAGUUGUCUUUUGAGUGGAGAAAUGGCAUCCACAAGCAUAAACAUGGCAUUGCAUAAGAAUUCCUUGUUGUUCUUCUUUCGGUACACACUUCCUAAUGAUUUGAUCAACACAAGACUUGUACAAAAAUGGUUCAUCCUAAUAAUAUGCAUGCACCUUGGAUAAGAAAAAUCUUCUCUUGAGUAGUCCAUUCCUUGGGUAGUUCUCCAGUGACUAGAUAAUUUGCAAUAUGAGCAUACCAUGGAUUGGUGUCUACUUUCAAAAGAGCAUCAUCAGUAAAUUCUUCAUUGAUGGGGGGGCAUUCUAGAAUGUGUUCCACUGAAAUUCAGGAUAGAUGGUCAGCUACCACAUUAUCUACACCUUUCUUAUCCCUUAUUUCAAGAUUGAAUUCUUGAAGAAGUAAAAUCCAGCGAAUUAGCCUUGCUUUAGAGUCCUUCUGACUAAAUAUUUCAAAGUUGAAUGAUCGGUGAAGAUCACUAUAGGAGCUCCAACAAGAUAUGCUCUAAACUUGUCUAAUGCAAAGACAACCGCAAGUAACUCUUUUUCAGUUGUGGUGUAGUUCUUUUAUGCCUCAUUAAGAGUUUUGCUUGCAUAGUAGAUAACAUAAGGUUUCCCCUCAUCUCUUUGCCUUAGAACUGCUCCCAUUGCUUGAUCACUUGCAUUACACGUAACUUCAAAAGGUAGGUCCAUUUUGGUCUCCUCACAAUAGGUGUAGUAGUCAAUAGUAUCUUCAACUCUUCAAAACAAUGUUGACAAUUUUCAUCCCAUUUGAAUUUCGCAUCCUUAUCAAGUAAGGCACACAUUGGUCUUGCUAGUUUGGAGAAAUCUUUGAUGAAACGCCUAUAAAAACCUGCAUGACCAAGAAAUUGUCUAACUUCUUUAACAUUUGUUGGUGGUGGUAGAUUCACAAUUAGCUUAAUCUUUACUUUAUCCACUUCGAUGUCUUUCUUUGAGAUAACAUGACCUAAGACAAUGCCUUUUUCUACAAUAAAAUGGCAUUUCUCCCAAUUUAGCACUAAAUUUUUCUCAAUGUACCUUUGAAGUAUUGUUUCCAAAUUUGAGAAACAAUCUCCAAAAUCCUCACCAUAGAUGGUUAGGUCAUCCAUAAAACUUCCAUGAUUCUCUCUACCAUAUCACUAAAGAUACUUAGCAUGCAUCUUUGAAAAGUGGCGAGAGCAUUGCAUAAACCAAAUGGCAUCCUCCUAUAUGCAUAGGUACCAAAAGGGCAAGUAAAUGUUGUCUUCUCUUGAUCUUCCAAUGCAAUCUCAAUCUGAAAAUAACCAGAGUAGCCAUCAAGAAAACAAUAAUAAGGAUGUCCUAAAACCCUCUCCAAUACUUGGUCCAUGAAUGGAAGAGGAAAAUGAUCCUUCCUUGUGACAGCGUUCAGCUUUCAAUAGUCAAUACACACCCUCCAUCUCAUGGUCAAUCUUGUGGCAAUAGAUUCUCCCUUUUCAUUUUGUAUCACGGUCACUCCCAACUUUUUAGGCACAACUUGAGUAGGACUCACCCAAGUGCUAUCCGAAAUAGAGUAGAUAAUUCUAGCUUGUAACAGCUUAAGUACCUCAUUUCGGACAACUUCUUACAUGUGAGGAUCCAAUCGCCUUUGAGGUUGACAAAUUGGCUUAGCAUUUUCCUCCAAACAAAUGUGGUGAGUGCAUACCAAAGGGUUUAUCCCCUUAAGAUCAUAAAUGGACCAUUCAAUAGCUUCUUUGCAUUUCCUUAGAACUUCCAACUAGUUUCUUGUUGGUAUGAUAAUUUUGAAGAGAUUACCACUGGAUACUUAUCUUCCUCAAGGUAUGCAUAUUUCAAAUCAUUUGGAAAUGGCUUAAGAUUGAGCUUGGGUGAUUCUUUCUUCUUUGCUUCUUCAUCAUUGGUUAAAGGUAAAGGCUUCUCUUUUUUCUUCCAUUGCAUAGAAUGAUUAAUGGAGACAAUUUCAUUAGCUUUCUCAACUUUUUAUUCUAGUUCGUUUUCUUUAAAUUCCUCAUAAGCCUUCUCCAUCUCUUCCUUCAUUAUUCCUUCCACAUGUUCUUCUAUAAGAGUAUCAAUCAAGCAAACCUCUUCUUGCUCAUCCUCAUCCUAAUUUGGAUGUUUGUUGCAUAGAUGAAAAAUAUUAAGCUUGAGAGUCAUAUUCCCAAAAGUGAGUUGCAUCACCCCAUUCCGACAAUUUAUUAAAGCAUUUGUUGUGGCUAAGAAAGGUCUACCAAGAAUGAUUGGAACAUGAUUUGGUUCUCUUGCUAUUGGCUCUGUAUCAAGGACAAUAAAAUCAACCGGAUAGUAAAACUUAUCCACUUGAACCAAUACAUCUUCAAUCAUUCCUCUUGAAAUUUUAAUUGACCUAUCAUCCAAAGAUAAUGUGAUAGAAGUAGGCUUGAGUUCCCCUAGCCCCAAUUGCUUGUACACUGAAUAGGGAAGAAGAUUUACACUUGCACCCAAGUCAAGAAUAGCUUUCUCUACAUAUGUAUCUCUAAUAUUCACCGAAAUGGUAGGACACCUUGGAUCUUUAUACUUGAUUGGAGUCUUACAUUGGAUGAUUGCACUAACUUGUUCAGUUAAGAAAGCUUUCUUGUUGAUGUUCAGCUCCGUCUUCAUUGUACAUAAAUCUUUAAGGAACUUGGCAUAGGGAGGAACUUGCUUGAUCAUGUCUAGAAGUGGUAUGUUAACUUUUACUUGCUUGAGAACUUCAAAAAUCUCAGUUGCAUUAUUUACCACCUUCCUUGAAUGAAGAGCUUUUGGAAAAGGUGGAGAUAAGAGUUUGUCUUCCUUCUUAACCUCUUCAUUAACAAUCUCAUCUUUCUUUGGUCUAUCAUCUUCAUUCACCUCUUUCCAUUUUUCUUGUUCUUUCACAUUUUCUUCUUGUUCCCCUCCUUUAUUCUCUUUUGAUUUUGGCAUAGGUUGAUCAACUUGCUUACCACCUCUUAAGGUAAUGAUUGCCUUCACUUCAUCUACCUUAGCAGAAUUUUCAUUUUUUUUCUCCGAUUUCAUGAACUCCCCUUGGAUUUUGUUGGGGUUGUGAAAGGAAUUUUCCUUUUUCUUGCACCAUAGGCAUACUUGUGAGUUUAGAAAUAGCAAGCUGCAUAUUAUCAAAUUUUUGUGUGAGACUAGUUUGCAAGCUAUCAAAUUUCUGAUUGAAAAAUGUCUCCACAUGAUCUAUCCUUUGAUUUAAUUGAGUAUUGAUACUCUUUUGAUCUCCAAUGAAGUCACCCAUCACUUUACUCAAAUUCACUAUAGCUUAUUCUACCGGUGAAGCUUGAGGUUGAGAAGUUUGCAUGUUAGAAGAAAAUUGUUCUUGUCCACUCUUCCAAGAUAGAUUUGGAUGAUUCCUCCACCCCGGAUUAAAGGUAUUUGAAAAUGGAAAACUGUUAGAGUGUUUAACAAAUCCAACAAUAUUAGCUUGCUCCAUAAACAUUUCUCUAACAGCUGGUAUGGUGGGGCAUUCGCUCACUAGAUGUUCACCGGAUUGACAUAUAGAGCAUUGAGCAAUUUGCAUUAGAACAUCAUUAACCACUUUGAUUUCAUGAGUUCCUCUUGCUUCAAGUUCUUCCAAUCUCUUAAUAGAGUUGCUAUUUUUGCUUGCACAUCUACAUCCUCAUUCAAAGUGUACAUUCCUCCUUUAGAAUUGUUUUGGAGCUUGACUUUGCUGGAGUCUUUUCCAUGAGGUUCAUCCCAUGAUCUAGAUAUUUCAACACAUAGUUUAGAAAAUCCAAAGCUUCAACAGGACUUUUGCUCAUAAAGUCUCCUCCACACAUGGUUUCUAGCAAUUGUUUCAUAGUCGAUGACAUACUUUCAUAAAAGUAGUUUUACCAACAUCCAAGUGUCAAAACCAUGAUGAGGACAAGCAUUGACAGCCUCCAUAUAUCUCUCCCAACAAGCAUAAAAUUUUUCAUUCUCCAUGGCCACAAAAUUGGAUAUUUGUCUCUUUAAUCCAUUAGUACGAUGAGCUGGAAAAAAUUUCUUCAAAAAUUCAGUUUGUAAUUCUGGCCAUGAGCGGAUACUUCAAGGUCUCAAAGAAUUCAGCCAUACUUUCGCCUUGUUCUUGAGAGUAAAAGGGAACAAUUUAAGUCUCAUAAGAUCAAUUGAUGCAGUCCCUUCUUGAAAAGUAUGACAUACUUCUUCAAAAUCCUUUAUGUGAAUGUAAGGAUUCUCAUUCUCCAUUCCAUGAAAUUGAGGAAGAAGUGGCACCAAAUAAGAACGGAUGAUCAUUUGCUCACUAGGAGGAACAAUGCAUGAUGGUGCACUCAUUCUUGGUGGAUGCAUAUGGUCCCUCAUAGAUCGAUACAAAUGGAAAUUUUCUUCAUUAGGACCAUGUUAACUUAGUUGAUCUUCACCUUGAGGUUCCAUUAUAUUUGUAGCAAUUCCAAUAUUCAGCACUUGAGUAGAUGAAUUAGUUCUUUCCAACCUUCCCUUAGAAUUUCGUUCCCAAUGGAGCAUGCAAGGGUUCACCUACACAACAAAAAAAGACAAACCAAAACACAACAAAAAGAACAAAAGAGAAAAAAAGAAAAAGUAAAAAAAUGAAAUUUGAAAAAAAAAAAAAAACUAAGAUGAAAGUGUAGAAUCGGUAAAGAGAACUUCACCAAUCUUGUGAUGUGGAUCAUAAGGUUUAAUCCUCACCAAAAAAAAAUGCCUCAAUCACCUUGGCACCAUCCCCGACAACGACGCUAUUUUUUAUCGCUUGGAUUUUUGUUAUUUAUUGGAUCAAAAUAAAAUUUAUAACCUAAUUCACUAUUCUAUAGCAAUUUGUACCCGAUCAAAAAGUGGUUUUAGUACAAACUACUGUAGUGUAGUGGUUUUUAGGUAUCGUCCACAAGGAUGGAUUAUUCUUGGUAAUCAAGGCUUGAAUAAGAGGAGAAGAAAUGAUUGAGAUCAAGUGAAAAUGAUUUGACAAUUCAUGAUAAAAAUUCGAAAUGAUAAUGAUUCCAAAUUGAGAGAAAAAUGAAAUGUAAAAUAGAAUAAAAUUAAUAGAAAAUGAAGUUCUCGGAGUUAGGAUUUUCUAAAAAGCAAUUUCCAUGGUGAAUAGAUGUUGAGAUCUAAUUUUCAUCUAAACCGAUUUUUUAUUUAGCUUUAGGUCUAGAUUUAAUUUCUCUUCAAAUUAGGUCAUCUAAUCCAAGAGAUCAAUUCAAAUCAUAUAUUCAAUUCAUCUUAAAUUAUCUUCCAAUGAUUCACACAAUGCAACUAUUCAAUCUCAUCAAAUCUAGCAUUAAGACUUUGAUGAAUCUACAUAGCUUGCAUUGUAGUAAUCAUCCAAGACAAUUUGAUUUUGAAGAGAAAAAUCAUCAAAUUUCAAUUAAUAAAUCAAUUGGAUCAAAUUACAUUUGCAAUUCAAGCUCAUUUCUCUAAUUCACCAUAGAUCUUGCCUCUAGAUCCUCCCUCCUCCGAGAAAAACGAGAUUUAGCCACUCAUGCUUGGAUAUUUGAUCUCACAAGGCAUGUUUGGCUAGUGAGAAAAUGAGAGAAAAUGAAGGAAAGUAGAAAAUUCUAUAGAGAUAAAAUCUGGAAAGUUCUACAAUUAGAAAAUGUAUCAAAAGUUCUUAAAUGAGUAUAUCAAGUUUCUAUUUAUAGGCCAAGGUUAAGUGGACACUUGGCAUCAUCUAAGAGGUUUUACGAAGGCUUCUUCACCAAGAAAUCUGGAAAAAAUACAAUUUUGCACGAUUGUGUGAAGUGGAAAGUUCAUCAGCACCAUUUUCGUCUUCUUGGAGCAUUUCGCAUGAUUGUGCGAAAUUUUUGCAUCGUCAUGCGAAAUCAGUUUUCACUUCUCCCCUUUGAGCUACAGCCAAAAUCCCCUCUGGUCUAUUUCGCACGUCUGUGCGAAUUUUUCGCAUGGUCAUGCGAAAUUGAAAAACAUGGUUUUUCAACUUCUUUUUGUCAUUUCUCCCAUUUCUUUCUUUUGACUCCACUUCCACCACCUUCAAUUCAGCUCCAAAGCUUGGUCCAAGUGCAUUGCCUCUUCCUCAUCAUCCACAUUGUGUACCCUCAUCCAUUCCAUUUCUCUUUUGUCACUCAAUGCUUCAAAAAUCACCUUAAAAUAUCUCCAAAACUUCACAAAAAUCCAUUAGUAUCUCUUGCAAGGGUAGCAAUGUAUUACUUGGGCAUAUUAGGCAUAAUUACUACUCAAAAGGUAUAAAACUCAUGAGAAUUAGUAUCUAAAAUGUGUGGUUUUUUAGUAGUAAUCACUAGGAUAAACGAAGUCCUCAAAACCAAGGGGUUGUUGCAUGUAAACCUCUUCAGACAAUUCACCAUGAAGAAAAGCAUUAUUGAUGUCAACUUGACGUAGAGUCCAUUUGAAAUUAACAACCAAUGCUAGAAUCAAGCAAAUAGUGGUUGCCUUAACAACUGGACUGAAUGUGUCAUCAAAAUCAAAACCAAGUCAUUGAGUAUACCUUUGAGCAACUAGGUGAGCUUUAUGUCUUUAAACACUUCCAUCGACAUUUUUUUUAUCCUAAAAAUCCACUUAAAGACUAUAAUGUUAUGGUUAGAAGGGAAUGGAACUAGGGACUAAGUAUCAUUCUGAAUGAGUGCAUUAUACUCAUGUAUCAUAGUUGUUUUCUACACUGGAACGGACAUGACUAAACAAUAAGAUGUAGGCUCUAAGAGUGGGGAAGCUAAAGCAAGAAAAACUCUCUGUUUGAGAAUGCCAGACUGGGACCAUGUUUGCAUAGGAUGAGUGGAUUGAAAAUUUAUUGGGAAGGCAACAUUAGAAGAGAUUUAUGAGGUUGAAUGAGGGAAUUGCUCACUGCUGGUUGAAUGUGGUUGACAGUUUUGAUCAGAAAGAAUGGUUGUUUCUGAUGAGGGCAAAUCUAUAGUAGCGACCAUUUAUGAGGAUUGAGUAAAAUAGCUCUAAUAUCAUAAAAUAGUUUGAGAUAUGAAUGAAAACGAGCUCUCCCUUUGGAUCAGGGAAGGCUAAUAGAAGUCUUCUAACAUCUGUUAAUAUAUGUUGAUCACAAGAUACAAGGAAAUAGAAUGAGAAAACAUAAUGAGUAAAAAUAAGGAAACAAACUAAUCAACUUAAAUUUGAAUUAUCAUGUGAGACCAAGCCCAUUAUGUUCUUGUUAAUUGAUUUCUCAAUUGCACGUUCCUUAUCAAUAAUAAAAUGAAAAUUUUGCAUAAUUUAAGUUAUAAAAUAUUCUUUGUAUAACUUUUGGCUAUAAAAUUAUUAAUUGACAACUUUGCUCUGUAUAACUUCUUGUUAUAUAAUAAAAUUAAAAAUUAUCUACAUAAUUUCUAGUUAUAGAAUUAUUGGUUGAUAACUUUGUUAUGUAUAACUAAUUGCUAUAUAAACAAAUUAGAAAUUAUUUAUAUAGUAUCUUGUUACAAAUUGUUUAUUAAUAAUUUUGUUCUGCAUAACUUCUUAUCAUACAACAUUAGAGAUUAUCUACAUAGGUUUUUAUUAUGAGAUAAUUGUCAAUAAAAAUUGUCUUCAUACUUCUAGUUAUGAGAUAUAAAUAGAAAUUAUAAUAAUAAAAAUAAGAUAUCAAUUUUCAUAUAUCUUUUAAAAUAAAAAUAUUUGAAAAAAAGUAAGAUUGUAUACUUUCCUAAAUAUGAUUAAGUGUUUCAUGAAUUUCUUUCUUUUUCAGCCGAAGCAUUGUGUUGAUAAUGUGUCAUAAAAACAAAGAAAGUAAAGAGAAGAAUUGAGAGAAAGAAAUUCUCAUCAAUAAAAUUCUUACAAUUGUAAAGGAUAAAUUGAUAUCCAAAGAAUUUAAUAUAUGAAAUUGUGAUAUUCAUCAGGGACAAAAAUAUCAACGAUAUAUCAUCGAUAUAUCUUGUAUCGGAAAGCUUUGACACGAUAUAUCAUAGUGAUAUAUUGGAGAAGAGAAAAUUCGGUAAAUAUUGUUACAAAAUCGUCAAUAUAUCAAUUGGAAGCGAUAAAUUGUUGAUUUUCCCAACGUGCUCCAAUCUCCCUCAUUCGAUCAAAGCCUACCCCUGCCUUUAAUUUUUUGCACCCCCUGCUCCAAGCUCCCUCCCCCAAUCAAAGCGAGCGAGCCCCCAGUCAAAGCGAGCUGCCUUUAAUUUUUUACAGCUCAAAAAAUGCCUUCCAAUUGUUUGCAAGUAAAGAGACUCGAACCUCAUACUACAACAUAUGUCUACCACUAGGGAAACUAUGCCCUUUGUAAACAUCAGUGUACCAAACAUAUGUAUAUUAAAAGUCAGGAUAUAAACAAAAUAUUAAAAGAAUAAUUAUAUUAUUAUCAAAAAUAUAAAAAUUACCAUCAAAAUUUUUUCUUAAUGUUUUAAAUAUCAUUAAUAGAUUAAUUAAAUAUUAAAAAAUUAUACAUAUAUUAUCAUUUAUUUUAUAUUAUUUAAUAUAAUUAAAUUAAAUGAAUCAUAAUUUUAAUAUUAAAUAUAUUUUAAAAUUAGAAAUAUUAUAAUUAAAUAUCACAAUAUUAUUGUGAAAUAAUAUUUAAUAUAAUUAAAUAAUAAACGGUACACUUAUAAAAUGCAUAUUUUUAAUCCAUACAUACAAUAUUAUUAUUAAAUAUAAUAAAUCAUAUCAUGCAUAUAUUAAAUUUUUCAAUAAAUAAUUUUAAAAUAUUUAUUAUAUUUUUAUGAGGUUUUUUUUUAUAUUUCCAUGAAUUUUAAUCAAUUUUAUAUCUAUCGAUAUUUUUUUUCAAAAUAUCCAUCAAUAUAUCCGUAAAAUCGAAGUACCGAUAUAUAUGUAAUUACCUAUAUUUUCAUAUUUGAUAUCCAUAUAUAAAUUUUUGCAUAUAUUUAUAUAUAUAUAUAUAUAUAUAUAUAUUUGGUUUUUUAUUGAGAAUAAAAAACAAAAAAAUUUCACAUCAAUUCAGUAAUAUUUUUCAUGUAAGUCAAAAACCAAUUCAAUUAUAAUCAAAUAAUUCAUCUUUGGCAGAAUUAUAUGCUUUAUCAUUUCCCUUCUAAGAUCAAUUUUUUUUUUAAGAUUGUAUUUUUUUAAAAAUAAAAUUGAAAAAUGUCCACUUGGGCCAUGAACUACGGUUAUGGGGUAUAUACAAUUCCAAGUUUUUUUUUUUUUAUUCACUUUUCAAUUCAAUUUUGUAUGAUUAUUUUGACUUAUCCUUAGCAUCUAGAAGCAUUAUAUAUUACCAUGUUGUAAGGGGGUCCAACAAAUUUAUAUUAAAUCAUUGCUUACAUGUAUGAAACAUUGAAUAUUCAAAGAUAAAUUUUUAAUGAUUCGAUGAUUUAGUCUUUGUUUGAUUAAGUUUUGAGAAGUGAAAGUUGUUAAGUUAAAUAAAAGUUUAUGUACCUACUUGACUAAUUUUAUUUAAAAUAUUUAUAUCUUAAAUUUAAUAUAAAAUUUUAAAAAUUAUUUCUUAUAUAAAAGUUUUAUUUUAUUUAAUGAUUUUUUUUAUAUAUAUAAUUGAGUACCAAGCUCUUAGGACUUUUAAUGGGGACUUAAACCUCAAGGUGUUGUUCACAUAUAGAACAACUAGUAUUGAGUAAAUCAAGAUAUUUAACCAAUGGCAGGAUUUGAACAUGACCCUGAUAAUGAAAAUUUUAUAAUAUUAAUAUUAUUUUUUAAAUUAUAAUUUUUAUUUGUACUUCUACUUCAAUUUUCUACAAGUAAAAGCAAGAAGCUUUUCAAAAUGGGACCUAAGACUAAAACCCUCAAAAUGAAUAUUAUUGUUUUUUUUUUUUUUCAUGUUUCUAUUUUUAUUUUUAUUUUAUUUGGUUUUUGUCCAACCAUAUCUCUUGCUUUCUUCAUCCAAAAUCAAUUUCACAAGUUAUUGUCCAGUGGGCUUUUUUUUUUGUUGCUCCAAUGGACAAUGACUUUAAAUAUUCAAUGCUUUGAAUUUAUGGGCUUGACUCUAUUAUUGGAGCUAUAAUAUGAGGGGGGGAAUCAGAAAUUUUAGAAAACAAAGCACAAAUCAUUAGGAUAUGUUGAAAAGCAUUGUUAAAAAAUAGUUUUCUAUUUUUUUAAAACAAUGUAUUUUUCUAACCUAAGAAAUAUGUUUGACAUUAGGGCAAAUAGUUUUUUUUUUUAAAAAAAAAAAAAAAAGAAUUUCUUUUGAGAAAAACUUAUUUUAAAAAUAAUUUUGAGAUAUAUUUUUUUUUUGUACAAUAUUUUGAGAAAGAAUUGAACAUAUGGUGAUGUUGUAAAAACUCUUGUAUUCUAAUUAUUGGAAGAGUAAGCCAAUAAAACUAUUUUUCAUAUUUAAAUUUUUAAAUAAAUUUUUGUUUUUAAAACCAAUUGAUAUCUAUUUUUAAAAAUAGUUUUUUAAUAACUAUUUUUAAAAAGUGAAACAAACCCUUAAGACAUAUUUAGCAAUAGUUUUCUAGAAUAGUUUUCUAUUAAUAAAAAAAAUAUAGAAAAACAUGUUUGAUAAUAAAAAUAUAAAGUUUUUUCAAAUAACAUCUUUUAAUUGUUUUCACUUAUUUUAAUAUAUAUAUAUAUAUAAACAUGUAAAAUGAUUAAAAAUAAAACACUAGACAUUAAAAUUAUUUUUAAAAUAUAUUUAAAAAUAUUGUUUUACAAAAUAUUAUAAAACAGAUUUUAGAAAAUAUUUUCAAAAACUAUUUUUUAGAAUUAAUUUUUAAAACAGUUGUCAAAUAAGAUCUUAAAAUUUUCUUUUAAAUUAUGAAAAUUACCCCUCGUACUUUCAUAUUUAUCUCAAUUUAGCUCCUUUUUUUUAGUGAUCACUCCUAAACUAUGCCCAUAUAUCAUACCCUUAAUUUUUUUCUUUUAAAUUACAAAAAUCACCCCUUUUACUUUCACAUUUAUCUCAAUUUAGCUCUCUCUCUCUCUUUUUUUUUUUUUUUUUUUUUGAAGUAAUGACACUCCUAAACUAUUGAUUGCCAUUGCUAGAAUUUAAUGAAAAAACUCAUAUAAUAACCAUAUAUAUAUAUAUAUAUAUAUGAUUUUUUUUUUGGUAUAACCAAUUUAUUUAGAUACUUGUCACAUGAGUUAUAUAUCCCUUUUUUUUUUUUUUUUUGAAAAAUCUUAGUAUAAUUAUUGAAAGUUGACAUUACUUAAAAAGUCCAAAGAUCACAUUAAAAUACGGGUAAAACUACAAAGAUAAUUUUUAUAAUUUACUUUUUUUAAAAAAAUUAUAUAAUUUUAUGGAAAGCUUCUAACGUUGUCAUGUCACAACCCAAUUGAUAAUGUUCAGAUCCAUGAUUGGUAUUAUAUGGGCCCUGUGGUGUUGGUUGGUUGGCUGUCCAUCUCUUAUAUUAUUCAUACAGGCCAAGCAAUGUACUACAGCUCAGGGUUUGGUUCAUUGGCUUUUUAUCAUAACCAGCCAUCUAGGUAGUGGGGUGCAUUAAUAUUUGAUUCCCAACUCCUUGUAUAGGUGUACCAAUGGUUGGUUGGAUGCUGACAUUUUAUUGUUAGGGAAUAUUAAGACUGACUUUCAAGUAAUUAAAUGAAGCAAAAUCAUCAACAAUGAUUAAUAAUUAAAGAAACGGUUAAUUUCAUUGACCUCCCUCGUGUUUUAGCUAAAUACAUAUAACUCUUGUUGGUUUAAAAUUUCAUCAAAUAUCUCUCUUAUCUUUCUUAUUUGAUAUUUUAAUUCACCUUCUCUCUAACUCAAAAUAAAAAAGGUAUUUAUCGAAUUUUUAAACCAAUGGACACUAGUUGUAUUUAAUUAAAAUUUCGAAAGAGACGAGUCAAAUUAACCCUUAAAGAAAGAAUUACUUUAUGGUUAAAAACAAAACUUAAUUAAUUUAAUUUUGUAUUAACUCUAAAAAAUAAUAUUAUUUGUCCAAUAUUUCAUAAUUGGUAUAAAUCUAAUGACCAUAUUAUUAAAAGCUUGUGGUAAGAACGGGUUUCGUUCUAAUGCCCGAAAAUAAUAUUUCAAAGCUUUCGUAUGCUCUCCAUUACUUGUGUGGAUAAGUCCUAUGUUAUAGAGUAUAUAACUUCGAUUAUAGGGAUCAAUUUCUAGUCGCAUAGCUUCAUAAUAAUUCUAUAAAGCUUCCACAUAAUUUCCUUCGGAUUGAGCCGGCAUCCGUUACAAGAGUCAUGAGUUUGAACUACAAAAGAAUUAUGUUAGAAGAGGGGUUGUUGGGAUACAGUAAUGUUGCUCUUAAGUUUGGGAUAAGUCACCUAAAUUAUGGUAGUUAAGAGACUUCAAAUUUCCUUUUUAGACACCAAUUAGUUUUCAAAUGAAAUGGCAAAAAUCUAAUUUAAUAAAUAUAAUAGUUUUAUAUUCAAAUAGAUAAAUAGAUAUCAGCUGAUCAAAGUCUUGAUUCUACUAAUAUAAUAACAUUAGAUGCAAAUAAACGUAAGUUAUCUAUUAGUUUAGUUUUUUUUUUUGUCAAUUAUUAAACUAUUGAAGGUAGGGAAUUGUCAAUCAUUUAACCAUUUAAGCCAGAGAUAGUAAUGAGAGGGUUUUUUCAAAUACUUGCCCCACUCUACCAUGGUCCCACAGCUUUCUUAUAGAGGAAGAUAUUUAGCUUUCUUAUAGGGGAAGAUAUUUACUUGUUAGUUGUUGACUUGUGUAGCUCAAUAAGGUCUCUAUCUUAAUGGAAAGAGGAAAAAGGUUUAGAUAAAAUAUCUAAAAAUAUAAAUUUAUUAUGAAGAUAAAUAUAUGGCUAUGUAAAGUGAGGAUCAAGAUGGGUGGGGAUGUAGAAUGGCCCACACAAUCCCAAGAAGGAGAAAAGAAGUACAUGAAAAAAUAUUUGACAAGAGUAUUAUAAGAAGUGAGAAAUUGGGCAUUUAUUAUGAAGAGUUAAAUACAACUUGGUUUUGUAUAUUAGCUUCUAGCUUUUGUUUUCUACAAGGACCACAAAAAGUGAAAAAAUGAGGUGUGUCAUUUUCUAUUCCUUAAAAAUAAUAAUAAUAAUAAUAAUAACUAUUAACAAAUUUGAGUAACUACAAUUCCUAAGAAAAGUUGUACUAUUUUUUAAAUUAGACUUUUUUUUUUCUUUCAAAAUUUCUACUUUUACUAAAUUUUACCACAAUUUCAUGAGCAUUUUCUCUAUUUAUUAAACCUUUUUUUUUCUUUUACCAAAAUUUCAAUUUUUAGAUUCAUAGUUAUAGUUUCACUCCUAGAGUCCAUUUGGUAUAUAAAGCACUUUUAACUUAAAAAAUAUUUUCUAAAAACAUAUAUGUUUUACAAAAUUUAGAAAAUAUUUUUAAAAUUUUGAAAAAUUACUUGUAGUGUUUUCUUGAU
rnacentral:lncRNA from 1 species